UUAUUGUCAGUAUCUUAUACAACAGCGCCUCCCUGUGGCUGAUUAAACACUUACUAGAAAUAUUAAAUUGUUGGUGAAAAAGAGAACAAAUGAAGAUGAAGCCAAUACGUACUCAUCUUUAUUCAUGAAACAUUAGUGUGAGAAAUUCUGUGGCGUACAAGUAGUGGUUAUAAUUUUGUACUUUUUUUUUGUAAUUUUUGUAUUUUGUCAGUACCUUUGACAGAUAAGAUUAGAAAAAAAUGCUCUUUUACAGCUUUUCACAUUCUAUAAACAUAUGCAAACUACAAAUCCACAUUAUCCCAACACAUGAGUGCAAAUCUAUACAAACAUGAACAAUAUAUAUCCAGUUAAUUUAAACGUUAUUUGUUAUCCAAACAUGGAUGACAAUCAUUUUCAAACGUCCUCACAAAACGUCACUCGUUCAGUUCUGUGUUGCAGACAUUUCGAUAACAGCCUGUUUCAGUACAGACACAGCUGGUCAGUAUCCAGCAUUACGAUCUCACUUAUCAUUUCACUUGGAGAAUACAACUCCAGAACAGGUUUAGAUACGGAGAAAAAAAAAGAUCCUUACCCUGUCAUGUUAUAUUUACAAGGUGAGUCCAUAACAGUAAAAUAAACUCCAGUUUUCAAAUUGCUGAUGUAUCAAGAAUAAUGUAAGACGCAUUUCCAAGAAACCACACAUAGGAAAUCAAAUCUGAUCUCAGAAACAUUAUUACUUCCUUUCAUAAGAGUUUUAUCACUCUCUGUCUUUGGAUUGUAAAGUUGCAGAGGUCAGGACCUCAAGUGCUAGUGGUAAAGGGAUUGCGUGCACUUAAGCACUACUACCUGCAGGGGGCAGUGUGGUUCAACAAUAGAGUUUCAACAUGGUGAGUCAAAAGAACCUUCCAUAUCUUUUAUUAUUUGAAAUAAAGAGGUUAAUCACCUGAAAACAUGUCAAGGUCACAUUUGAUCCUAUUUUUUAAAAUAAAUUUCCAUGACAACUAAGCACUAUAUUUCCCAAUAUCCUCAAUGGUGUUUUUAUUAUUUAAAUCAGCAUUAACAAUACAACUUUAAAUAUCAUUACUGAGAAUCUGGGAAGGGGGUGAACAAAACGAUCCUAAAAGUCAAAUCUUAAUGGUCUCAAAUUUCUCACAACAUUUUGUUAUGGGGGGAACUAUAUGACCCAGACAUGUUCUUGAAAGGUUUAAUGACGAACACACUUUCGUUGUGAUUGAAAAAUACUCAUUGAUCAGUAUAAUGGAUGCUACACAAUUCAUUUACAUAAAUCUGACAUUUGAAACUUCAUUAGGCAAAUCUAUAACUUAAUUAGUGGUAGGCACUCUUAAAGGUUUUGUGAUGCAUGGUUAAAUCAUAACUAAACCAUUGGAAUUAGAAGGAAAUAAAAUGUCAGAAAGACGUUCAGGGUCACUGAAAUAGUACCCGUUUCUUCAACAGACGUCUGCCAAGAACACUUCGCAGUUCUAGACGUUUUCUGAGUGUCAUGACAGAUCUCACCAAAGAACGCCAGCAACAGCAUGUUCCCCGUAUGCAAACCCAAGACGCAAUUUCACUGGGUCCAUAAGUCCUCCAAAACUUCUGCUGAAGAUCAUCCAGUUCUGCAGGCAGUGGGAUAUUCAACUCCUGAUUCAGAGUCAAUGCCUCAAAACAGUCCUCCAACUUCUGAAAAGCAGGCCUGAAGGAGACCGGAAGUGGAAAGAGAGCUAUGAGCCGAUGUCUGGGAAUGUGACAGCUAACCAGAGAGGAGAUCCUACCUUCAGUGCCACAAAACACUUACAGGUAAGUAGGGAAUGUCUGCCAUAAUAUAAGAGGGAUUUCACAGAAGGAUAAACAGUCAAUUAAAAUAUCAAUCAAAUAAUAAACAGUAGAAAGAAGUCUAAAGGUCUGACCAGCUGAAGUCAAUAGUCAAAAAGCUUCUACUUUAAUUCAUUGAAACGCUUAAUAAAGAACAAUAUGUAAAAAAAAGUUUGAC